rnacentral:rRNA from 1 species
UACGUAGGGUGCAAGCGUUGUCCGGAAUUAUUGGGCGUAAAGAGCUCGUAGGCGGUUUGUCGCGUCGAAUGUGAAAACCUGGGGCUCAACCCCGGGCCUGCAUUCGAUACGGGCAGACUAGAGUUCGGUAGGGGAGUCUGGAAUUCCUGGUGUAGCGGUGAAAUGCGCAGAUAUCAGGAGGAACACCGGUGGCGAAGGCGGGACUCUGGGCCGAUACUGACGCUGAGGAGCGAAAGCGUGGGGAGCAAACAGG